CGCACACAAGCAGGAGGAGAGCUCCACAGAGGAGCUGUGGCUGUAAGAAACAUGUCACCUACGGGCAUGCAGGAGGAAUGCGCUCAUAGCUACAGCUGAAAGACGCCCGAGAGAGAAGGCGGUAAGCAGAGCGUACAGGCCCCCUGGAGGAGAGCCCAAGCUCUGGGCAGAACCCGAGUAUCUGCUGAGAAGUCCUCCAUUCGGGUAGUUGCAAGACUGAGACCCUUUGUCUUUGGUGGAACUUAAUGACAAGGUCAAGUUCUGCCUGCUACUGGAACAGCUCGAACCUGUUAGAGACACACAAAAAAUGAAAGCAUCAGCACUCCUAACAGGAACCUUCAGGCAAAACUCCAAGUUAUAACCAUUCAGAAUGCACCUGAUUUUUAAACACAAUUCAAUAUAAAUUAUUAAAUGUGUAACAUUAAUAAAAUACACAUUCCUGAUACU
rnacentral:lncRNA from 1 species